UGCCUACGGGGGGCAGCAGUGGGGGAUAUUGCACAAUGGGGGGAACCCUGAUGCAGCGACGCCGCGUGGGUGAAGGAGCGUUUCGGCGCGUAAAGCCCUAUCGGCAGGGAAGAAGGAGGACGGUACCUGACUAAGAAGCCCCGGCUAACUACGUGCCAGCAGCCGCGGUAAUACGUAGGGGGCAAGCGUUAUCCGGAUUUACUGGGUGUAAAGGGUGCGUAGGCGGGCUUUUAAGUCAGCGGUAAAAAUUCGGGGCUCAACCCCGUCCGGCCGUUGAAACUGGGGGCCUUGAGUGGGCGAGAAGG
rnacentral:rRNA from 1 species